UACGUAGGCAGCAAGCGUUGUUCGGAGUUACUGGGCGUAAAGGGUGUGUAGGCGGCCUGUUAAGUUCCGUGUGAAAUCUCCCGGCUCAACCGGGAGGGUGCGCGGAAAACUGGCGGGCUUCGAGUGCGGGAUGGGAGAGUAGAAUUCCUGGUGUAGCGGUGAAAUGCGUAGAUAUCAGGAGGAAUACCGGUGGUGUAGACGGCUCUCUGGACCGUAACUGACGCUGAGACACGAAAAGCGUGGGUAGCAAACAGG
rnacentral:rRNA from 1 species